rnacentral:rRNA from 1 species
UGGGGAAUAUUGCACAAUGGGCGCAAGCCUGAUGCAGCCAUGCCGCGUGUAUGAAGAAGGCCUUCGGGUUGUAAAGUACUUUCAGCGGGGAGGAAGGGGUUGAGGUUAAUAACCUCAGCAAUUGACGUUACCCGCAGAAGAAGCACCGGCUAACUCCGUGCCAGCAGCCGCGGUAAUACGGAGGGGGCAAGCGUUAAUCGGAAUUACUGGGCGUAAAGCGCACGCAGGCGGUCUGUCAAGUCGGAUGUGAAAUCCCCGGGCUCAACCUGGGAACUGCAUUCGAAACUGGCAGGCUAGAGUCUUGUAGAGGGGGGUAGAAUUCCAGGUGUAGCGGUGAAAUGCGUAGAGAUCUGGAGGAAUACCGGUGGCGAAGGCGGCCCCCUGGACAAAGACUGACGCUCAGGUGCGAAAGCGUGGGGAGCAAACA